rnacentral:rRNA from 1 species
AUUGAACGCUGGCGGCAGGCCUAACACAUGCAAGUCGAGCGGAUGAAGGGAGCUUGCUCCUGGAUUCAGCGGCGGACGGGUGAGUAAUGCCUAGGAAUCUGCCUGGUAGUGGGGGAUAACGUCCGGAAACGGGCGCUAAUACCGCAUACGUCCUGAGGGAGAAAGUGGGGGAUCUUCGGACCUCACGCUAUCAGAUGAGCCUAGGUCGGAUUAGCUAGUUGGUGGGGUAAAGGCCUACCAAGGCGACGAUCCGUAACUGGUCUGAGAGGAUGAUCAGUCACACUGGAACUGAGACACGGUCCAGACUCCUACGGGAGGCAGCAGUGGGGAAUAUUGGACAAUGGGCGAAAGCCUUAUCCAGCCAUGCCGCGUGUGUGAAGAAGGUCUUCGGAUUGUAAAGCACUUUAAGUUGUGAGGAAGGGCAGUAAGUUAAUACCUUGCUGUUUUGACGUUACCAACAGAAUAAGCACCGGCUAACUUCGUG